rnacentral:rRNA from 1 species
UACGAGGGGGGCAAGCGUUGUUCAGAAUUAUUGGGCGUAAAGGGUGCGUAGGCGGUUUGGUAAGUCUUAUGUGAAAUCUACAGGCUCAACUUGUAGUCUGCAUGAGAAACUGCCGGGCUUGAGUAUGGGAGAGGUGAGUGGAAUUCCUGGUGUAGCGGUGAAGUGCGUAGAUAUCAGGAGGAACACCUGUGGCGAAAGCGGCUCACUGGACCAUAACUGACGCUGAUGCACGAAAGCUAGGGGAGCAAACAGG